UGGGGAAUAUUGUACAAUGGGCGAAAGCCUGAUCCAGCCAUGCCGCGUGUGUGAAGAAGGUCUUCGGAUUGUAAAGCACUUUAAGUUGGGAGGAAGGGCAGUAAGCGAAUACCUUGCUGUUUUGACGUUACCGACAGAAUAAGCACCGGCUAACUCUGUGCCAGCAGCCGCGGUAAUACAGAGGGUGCAAGCGUUAAUCGGAAUUACUGGGCGUAAAGCGCGCGUAGGUGGUUCGUUAAGUUGAAUGUGAAAGCCCCGGGCUCAACCUGGGAACUGCAUCCAAAACUGGCGAGCUAGAGUAGGGCAGAGGGUGGUGGAAUUUCCUGUGUAGCGGAGAAAUGCAUAGAUAUAGGAAGGAACACCAGUGGCGAAGGCGACCACCUGGGCUCAUACUGACACUGAGGUGCGAAAGCGUGGGGAGCAAACAGG
rnacentral:rRNA from 1 species